UGAGGAAUAUUGCACAAUGGGCGCAAGCCUGAUGCAGCGACGCCGCGUGGGUGAAGAAGGUUUUCGGAUCGUAAAACCCUUUUCUGUGUGACGAGGAAGGACGGUAGCACAGGAAUAAGUCUCGGCUAACUACGUGCCAGCAGCCGCGGUAAAAACGUAGGAGACAAACGUUAUCCGGAGUUACUGGGCGUAAAGGGCGUGCAAGCGGCAGUCUAAGUCUGGCGUGAAAUAUCCCGGCUUAACCGGGGAAGGUCGUCGGAUACUGGGCAGCUCGAGGGCGGUAGAGGCGUGUGGAAUUCCGGGUGUAGUGGUGAAAUGCGUAGAGAUCCGGAGGAACACCAGUGGCGAAGGCGACGCGCUGGGCCGCACCUGACGCUAAGACGCGACAGCAUGGGGAGCGAACAGGAUUAGAAACCCUGGUAGUCCAUGCCGUAAACGAUGCCAGCUGGGUGUUUGGAAGGGGAAACCCUUCUGGGUACCGAAGUCAACACGGUAAGC
rnacentral:rRNA from 1 species